UACGAGAGGUGCAAGCGUUAUCCGGAAUCAUUGGGCGUAAAGCGUCCGCAGUCGGUUCGUUAAGUCCGGGGUGAAAUUACGGCGCCUACCGUCGUAAGCGUUCUGGAAACUGGCGAACUUGAGUAGAGGAGGGGCAGACGGAAUUCCUGUUGUAGGGGUAAAAUCCGUAGAUAACAGGAGGAACACCAAACGCGAAGGCAGUCUGCUGGCCUCUCACUGACGAUCAGGGACGAAAGCGUGGGGAG
rnacentral:rRNA from 1 species